AGGGGAGUCAACACUUUGAAAGGGUGGAUAACAGCAGGACAAGGGGAAAUGGUUUGAAGUUGAAGGAGGGAAGAUGUAGGUUGGAUGUCAGGGGGAAGUUCUUUCCUAUGAGAGUGGUGAGGUGCUGAACAGCUGCCCAGAGAGGCUGUGGAUGCCCCGUCCAUCCCUGGAGGUGUUCAAGGCCAGGUUGGAUGGGGCCCUGGGCAGCCUGGGCUGGUAUGAAAUGUGGAGGUUGGUGGCCCUGCUUGUGGUGGGGGGGUUGGAGCUUCAUGAUCCUUGAGGUCCCUUCUAACCCAAGCCAUGCUAUGAUUCUACGGUUGACCAUGGAAGCUGGUUCCCCCUGUGAAUCUCUGCAGCAGGUUUUCAGAAGUCUGAACAUAUUGCACGAAUCUGCCUUGAGCAGUGAGAUCUUUCUGAU
ensembl:lncRNA